AUGUGCCUACGGGGGGGCAGCAGUGGGGAAUAUUGGGCAAUGGGCGCAAGCCUGACCCAGCAACGCCGCGUGAAGGAAGAAGGCUUUCGGGUUGUAAACUUCUUUUCUCAGGGACGAAGCAAGUGACGGUACCUGAGGAAUAAGCCACGGCUAACUACGUGCCAGCAGCCGCGGUAAUACGUAGGUGGCAAGCGUUAUCCGGAUUUAUUGGGUGUAAAGGGCGUGUAGGCGGGAAUGCAAGUCAGAUGUGAAAACUAUGGGCUCAACCCAUAGCCUGCAUUUUAAACUGUAUUUCUUGUGUUCUG
rnacentral:rRNA from 1 species